AAUUUUACAGAAAAAAAAUUGGUAGAUGAAAUUAGUUAUAAUUAAUAAAAAAAUUGUAUAAAUUGAUUAAAUUAUUCUAAAAACAAAUUGAAAAUUAUAAAUUGAAAUAGAAUUUUAAAAGGUUGGGUUACAGAUUUAAAAUGGUCUAUAGUUCAGAUAAAUUUUGUAUGUUUUUACCAAAAUUUUAUAAUGAAAUUUAU
rnacentral:lncRNA from 1 species